rnacentral:rRNA from 1 species
GUCCUAUAGAAUUGUAAUUUUAGGUCUAAUCUGCCCAAUGAAUUUAUAUUUUAAUGGCCGCAGUAUUUUAACUGUGCAAAGGUAGCAUAAUCAUUUGUCUUUUAAUUGGAGGCUGGAAUGAAUGAUUGGAUGAAAAAUUAACUUUUUUUAUUUAAAUUUUGUGAAUUUAAUUUUUAAGUUAAAAAGCUUAAAUUUUUUUAUAAGACGAGAAGACCCUAUAGAAUUUUAGUUAUUAAGUUAUAUUAUUUUAAUUAGAAUUUAAUUUAUUUAAUUAAUUUAGUAAUUUUUGUUGGGGUGACAGUGAAAUUUUAAUAACUUUCAUUAAAAUUUUUCAUUAAUUUAUGUGAUUUUUGAUCCUUUAUUAUGGAUUAUAAGAUUAAAUUACCUUAGGGAUAACAGCGUAAUUUUUUCGGAGAGUUCUUAUCGAUGAAUAAAGUUUGCGACCUCGAUGUUGGAUUAAAGUAAGUUUUAGGUGUAGAAGCUUAAAUGAUAAGUCUGUUCGACUUUUAAAUCUUUACA